rnacentral:tRNA from 1 species
GACUCAGUGGCGUAGUGGGUAGCGCGCUCGCCUCACAGCAAGAAGGUUGUUGGUUUGAGUCCCGGCUGGGUCA